GGGCUUGUAUGGAUUUGACGGCAAGAUGAAAUCGUAUGUAAGCACGCGAAAUCGUAUGUAAGCACGCGGAGCCUCGUUGGCUAGCUCCAUAAUCUGAGUGAACACAAAUUUAAUUGGCGAAAACAACUACGCUCUCGCUGCCUAAUCGAAGUACAGUAGAUUACUGGCUUAAUCCUGCUAUCAGAUAGCGGGACGAGACAUCGCUCCGAGGAUGUUGUUCCGAAUCCGGAGAUCAAGCGGUGCAGACUAAAUCGGAAAUAGCCUUGCAAGGCUCCGCUUGUGAGGUGAAAUUUUAGGAGAUAAGGUCGCGGUUGGUGGUCCAGGUCUUGCCACGGCACGAAAAUGAAGGCUGGAAUAAGCGUGUAGAAAGCAUAGGGCUUCCUUGUGCGGACCGGGGUUCGACUCCCCGCAGGUCCAC
rnacentral:tmRNA from 1 species